rnacentral:rRNA from 1 species
AAAAUCCGUUGAUAUUAGGAGGAACGCUAAAAGCGAAGGCAGUUCACUGGCCAUUUCUGACGCUCAGAGACGAAAGCGUGGGUAGCAAACAGGAUUAGAUACCCUGGUAGUCCACGCCGUAAACGAUGAGUACUAGGUGUUGGAGGUUCGAUCCCUUCAGUGCCGUAGCUAACGCGUUAAGUACUCCGCCUGAGGACUACGGUCGCAAGACUAAAACUCAAAGGAAUAGACGGGGACCCACACAAGCGGUGGAGCAUGUUGUUUAAUUCGAUACCAAGCGGGGAACCUUACCCGGGCUUGACAUCCAGAGAAUCCCCUAGAGAUAGGGGAGUGCCGCAAGGAACUCUGUGUCAGGUGCUGCAUGGUUGUCGUCAGCUCGUGCCUUGAGGUGUUCGGUUAAGUCCGUGAACGAGCGCAACCCUCGUCCUAUGUUACAUUUCUCAUAGGAGACUGCCUGUGUUAAGCAGGAGGAAGGUGAGGAUGACGUCAAAUCAGCAUGGCCCUUAUGUCCGGGGCUACUAACGUGCUACAAUGGGGUGUACAAUGGGUAGCGAUGGAGUAAUCCGGAGCCAAUCUCAUCAAAGCACUUCUCAGUUCGGAUUGAGGGCUGCAACUCGCCCUCAUGAAGUUGGAAUCGCUAGUAAUCGUGAAUCAGACACGUCACGGUGAAUAUGUUCCUGGGCCUUGUACACUCCGCCCA